rnacentral:tRNA from 1 species
GGCUAAAUAACAUAACUGGAAAAUGUAUUAGAUUGCAAAUCUUAUAAUAUCGGUUCAAAUCCGAUUUUAGCCU